CUGAAAACACUGGUUCUCAUUCGAUCACCAAAGUUAAUCCAUAUCAAGCCCAGUCAUUACUUAGAUGGGGUUCCACUUGGGAACAGCUGGGACUGUA